GCUUUGGUAGCUCAGUCGGUAGAGCGUAGGUCUCAUAAUCCUAAGGUCGUGUGUUCGAUUUUUUUCUUUAGAAAUCCA